UCAUCUUUGCCGCCUGCAUUUAUCUGGCACCUGGCUUCGUUCAAGAGAUAACAUUCUACUCAGGGUCUGACCAGGAAGGUGACGCACUACGGAUCCGGAGCAAAAAGGUGGAUCUGUCCCCGUACCAUUUUCACCUGUAUGACGUCAAAUCUUACUGCGCCACAGGACGAUAGGGACUAAAAAUAUUUAAAUGUGGGAAGGAUUCAGCGCGACAAAUUUCACUGGAAGACUGACAUUUUCAUCAUAUGACUAUAACGGAACUAUGACAUGCGGCGAUUUUCCGGAAGUUUCGAACGAAUUGUCGCUAAGGUAUUUGGGCCCCUUGGAUGCAGCCAGGCGAUCCUUGUCGAUCUACAGUGGAACUAAUGACAGCAUGUCGGGCGGCACAGAACGGACUUUCACAAGCGUGGCAGCCAACAAUUUCGGCUUUACGCCCACCUACCUCGUUAUCACUGGAGGGUCAAGUUGGACUGGUUUUUCCAGCGAAGAUUUUUCCGGACUGUCGACCUGCUUCGGAAGAGCACAGCCAAUUGCGGCUUUCCCACUGGCUGGACAAGUAAUAAGAUCCGUUGCGCAAGGGUGUGGCUCUGAUCUGAAAUAUGACAGUGUGAAGUACUAUGCUGAUAAUAGCGCUUGUGGGGAUUGACAGAAAAUAAUGUGUAUGCAUGCUUUCAGUAUUUUCAUGAAAAAUUAUGUUUCUGAAUAAAAAAAGAGAUUUGAUACGAAAUAAAAUUUGAUUGUUAA